rnacentral:rRNA from 1 species
AUGCAGUCGACGCUUCUUUUUCCACCGAGACUUGUCUCAUCGGAAAAAGAGGAGUGGCGAACGGGUGAGUAACACGUGGGUAACCUGCCCAUCAGAAGGGGAUAACACUUGGAAACAGGUGCUAAUACCGUAUAACAAUGUUCUUCGCAUGAAGGAUAUUUGAAAGGCGCUUUUGCGUCACUGAUGGAUGGACCCGCGGUGCAUUAGCUAGUUGGUGAGGUAACGGCUCACCAAGGCCACGAUGCAUAGCCGACCUGAGAGGGUGAUCGGCCACACUGGGACUGAGACACGGCCCAGACUCCUACGGGAGGCAGCAGUAGGGAAUCUUCGGCAAUGGACGAAAGUCUGACCGAGCAACGCCGCGUGAGUGAAGAAGGUUUUCGGAUCGUAAAACUCUGUUGUUAGAGAAGAACAAGGAUGAGAGUAAAAUGUUCAUCCCUUGACGGUAUCUAACCAGAAAGCCACGGCUAACUACGUGCCAGCAGCCGCGGUAAUACGUAGGUGGCAAGCGUUGUCCGGAUUUAUUGGGCGUAAAGCGAGCGCAGGCGGUUUCUUAAGUCUGAUGUGAAAGCCCCCGGCUUAACCGGGGAGGGUCAUUGGAAACUGGGAGACUUGAGUGCAGAAGAGGAGAGUGGAAUUCCAUGUGUAGCGGUGAAAUGCGUAGAUAUAUGGAGGAACACCAGUGGCGAAGGCGGCUCUCUGGUCUGUAACUGACGCUGAGGCUCGAAAGCGUGGGG